CACUAAAUGUUUUUGAAAAAAAGUUAUAAUUUUUCAUGGAAUUAUUAUUAUUUCUGCAGUGUAUACUUAACAGUUUAACAUAAACUUUCUUUAUCAGAAUGAUCAAAUAUUUGAUGUUGGCAGCCUGCUUGGCUAUGGGAGUUUCUUCUAAAAUAUAUCUGAUUGAAACUGCAGAGAGAAAAGAUGUCUUACCAUCCGUCUUACCAGUAGAAUCUACUCCAGAAAUAAAUUCAGCUGUUUACCCCCUUGAGCAAACUGCCUCAGUCCCGGCCCCAGCAUCUCCUACCAUCCCACUGCAGUCCCAAGUCCCCACCGCACCUUUGGAGGCCACAGCACCCGUCGUCAACCCAUAUGAGACAUUAGCAGCAGCCAGUGCCCCCAUUGAGGCCCCAAAAAGUAACAGAUUAAUGAAAUAACAAAUCUAUAUAUUUAAUUUGUAAUAAAUUUUAUUACCAAAACCGUA